GACGAACGCUGGCGGCGUGCUUAACACAUGCCAGUCGAACGGAAAGGCCCUGCUUUUGUGGGGUGCUCGAGUGGCGAACGGGUGAGUAACACGUGAGUAACCUGCCCUUGACUUUGGGAUAACUUCGGGAAACUGGGGCUAAUACCGGAUAGGAGCUCCUGCUGCAUGGUGGGGGUUGGAAAGUUUCGGCGGUUGGGGAUGGACUCGCGGCUUAUCAGCUUGUUGGUGGGGUAGUGGCUUACCAAGGCUUUGACGGGUAGCCGGCCUGAGAGGGUGACCGGCCACAUUGGGACUGAGAUACGGCCCAGACUCCUACGGGAGGCAGCAGUGGGGAAUGUUGCACAAUGGGCGGAAGCCUGAUGCAGCAACGCCGCGUGCGGGAUGACGGCCUUCGGGUUGUAAACCGCUUUCGCCUGUGACGAAGCGUGAGUGACGGUAAUGGGUAAAGAAGCACCGGCUAACUACGUG
rnacentral:rRNA from 1 species